GAACACGGGGUGACAGGUUCAUUUUCCACUGUAUAUCUUUCUCUACUGGUGGAUAUCGCCCGCCCCCUGUUUCUAUUAACUAUUCGAGGCAGGGGGAAAGCCCACCCUCUCCAGUCAGCCUUGCUCCUGCAACAGAUUUUUCUCUGCAGCUUCAGACAAGGACCCUCCACUUUGUUCCAGUACCUCUUCUUCCGGCGCUGCCCUCUCUCCUCGCUUGGAUUCAAGCUGUGUGCCCACUAGGUUACUGAUGCUCUGGCCUCAUCGGCCUCCCAGGGAUCUGAACCAUCUGCAUGCAGGACCCCAACUCCCUCUCGUGUCCGUGAGUGCAAAGCAAUGCGUUCUGAGCCCAGAAGCCUUGCCCUGAAGGCCCAGCCCUCCCUUCGCUGAUGCUUUUCUGAAUUUCAUAACCAACAUCAGAGACCACUAAUCUCCUCAAAGGCUAUUGCAAAACUCCCUGUGGGCUGUGGGCACAUGGAGGCAAUUAACAUGAUUUAUAGGAGAGAAGAGCUAUUGGAAAGAGGAAACCCACUGUUUCCACAUGGGCCUGGGGCUUGUAAGUCAAAAAGGCAAGUUCAGAUUUUGUUGUUGUUGUUGUUAAUGCUUAAAUUCCAAAUUCUUAUCCUCACAGAAAAUGAGGGGUACAAAUUGUGACUUUAGUCAGGAACUUCUUACAAGAUUCUGCCUCUAGACAGAGGAUCUAUGGGUGUAUGUUACUAAGAAUAUGAAAAAGAAGGCUACAUGUUGGCCUCUUGUGGCAGCUAUAGUCAUCCUGCAUAUCGAAUGGCAAGCCCUUGCUAUUAGAAUGCUUGCUAUUAGAGAUGAAAAUAAGGAAGGAAGGAAAGCUUAUGUUUCAAACUCUGUGCAGGCACUUUUGUUACUGUAUAAGGAUGUUAUCUCAUUUAAUGCUCCCAGUAACACUAACGGGAGUACUAUUAUUGUGCUUUGACAUUUAAUUCUUUUCAACAAAUAUAAAUAUUUAUUAUUUGUCAAGCCCAGAUAUGGGGUUCUAGCAUUCAUUCAUUCAACAAAUAUUUGUUUGUUGCAUUUUGAUUGCUUAUUUAUUAUUUAUUUGCCAGGCCUGGAUUUGGGGUUCUAGCAGUGAAUAAAUCAGAUGAAGACUCUAAGCUCUUAAAUCUUACAUUCUAGGAGACAGACGCUAAAGAAAUAGACAAAUAAAUCUAUCCUUUAAGACAGUGAUGUGUAUUAAGAAUAAAAGUAAAACAGAAUAAGGGGCAAGUCUGAUUUGGGGGUAAAAUGUUAGAGAGGGCAGGUGAAGUGGGUAGGCUGGCAGAUUUCCAGGAGAAGAGCUUUUCAAGGGGAGAAAAUUUAAAGUGCAAAGGCCAAGAGGUGGAGGAAAGAAUGAUCUCCUUUUUUUCCUCCCCCUUACUCUGCCCAAGAAAGGCUCUGACCUCUUGUACAGCAUAACCUGUAGGAAGCAGCAGAGGAAGCCUGGAAUCCAGUUAAGAGCUGACUGUAGGAGGGCAAGAGUGCUGGAGGCCUGGAUGGGGAGCGAGGUAGGAGUGGGGAAGUGGAGGCAUGGAUCCGUGAUGCUCUGCUCUAGGUGGAGGCAGAAGCCUUGCUGACAGAUGGGUGAGGGUUGUGGGAGGAAUCCAGGGUUUUGGCCCAAGCAAGUGGGUACUUAAUGGUGCCUUCAGGGAGGUAAGGAAGACUGGAGGGCAAGUGGUCUUGGGGGUACUUUGAAGCAGGUGGGAAAACUGAGACUCGGAGAGGAAAUUCAGUCACGUGCUAGUACCUGGCAGGGGUGGCAUUGAAAAUCAGCAACCCACCUGCCCCCAAAGUCACCAUUAAUAGGAGUUAAAAUUGGGCUUUACGUUGGUAAGAUCCAUCACCCUUGUAUCAUCUCUUCCUCUAGCCAAUUCUAGGGUCUCAGCCUGGCUACGGUGGGGCCGGGUAGGUGGGGGGUACAAAUAGGUCCUCCUCCCUCCCCACGCCCACACCUUUCUGCACGUGGAUUCCAGCCUUGUACCAAUAAGAAUAUAACUCUUGGGGAAUAUUUAUUGGGGCCAUCACCACCCACUCUUGAUCACUUGUGUGUUUAUUGGCUUAUCGUCUACCUGCAGUUUCCCUCGUCCCCACAUCAGUUCUGCAGAGAGUGACGGCUAACCUGUGUUCCUGGCCCCUACGAGUCUGUGCACAAAGAUGAGCGCUUGUCUGAUGACUCCUGAAUCCCUUGGGCUGCUCUGGCAUCUCUCCACCGCUAUGGAGAUGACUGUCCACUGAAAUGAACUUGGGCCCAGCUUCCCCAGAACCCAGGCCAGAGCCAGAAAACAGCCUGCACUCAAGAAAUCUUGUUGAAUAAAUUCUGAUUGAUACCUUUGAGGAGGUGAUGUUUGAGCCUUGGGACCGUGGGAGAUGAAUAGUGAAGAUGGGAAAGAAAGAAAGGACAGCAGAGCCUGUGGAAGAAAGAACAAGACAGGCACAUAGGAUGGCCCAUGAACAGGCAUGACACCUGUUACUCCUGGGCAGUCUCCCUAACCGCCAGCCGGACGAUACAGAGAAAAGCCACCUCCAAGGUCACGGGCAUUGAGCUGCGGAAAUAAUUCAAUUCAAACUCGUCUACUGCUGUGGGAUGCAACAGAGCAUUUAAGUGGCAUUAUUAGUCUGCCUUUUAAAGCCCCUUCUGGCUUAAUUUAUGAUUCACUACAGCUCUCACCACUUUCUGGGAAGGAGAGACACUCAUACCUUUUCUAUAUGACUCACCGUUUUUGCAGUUACCUUUCUCAGGUUCAGACCAUCCAGGUAACUAAAGGAAUUUGCAGCGAGACCGGCUACCUUGCUCUGGACUCCCCUUAAAACGCUCUGAUGGCCUGUUACCAAAAAAAGAGAUUGAACUUCAAAUGGCAAAUGGCCAGGAUUGUGUUGUUUUGACACUUGGAACAAUGCAAUGCCAAUUCCGUUAAUUUAUGGGAGAAACCGCUCAGUUCUCUAACUUGCUGGCAGCCGCAAAUGGUUCUAGAAUCAACAGUGCCCCCUGGUGGCAUCUUCUGGCAUAGUCUCAUGGCAGAGAGAAAUAUAAUAAGAAAAGCUCAGAUUUCUGGGUUUCAGCAAAGGGGCAGAAACAUGCUAAGGGGGCCAUUAAAUUCCUCAGCAGGUGACACUAAUGAGUGUCUUUCUUCUCAAGAGUCAUCAUGGGUCACCACCGGCCCCUUUGCCUCGGACUUGUGAGUGCAAGUUGAAAUAGUUCCCGGAGUGGCCCCUCUUUGAUAGGAUUUCAGCCUGCAGUGUUUCCCACUUGAAGCAGUUGUCUUCAUGGAGCUCAGGAGACUGACAUUUGAUCUCUGCCAAGCACCAGAGUGAUUAAAGCUCAGGCUAGCCGGGACUAGGAACCAGGCUGAGGAGAAGAAAUCCAAAAUUAUUUCUGAUGGAAUGCCACUCUUAGUGGAGAUCCAAUGAGAGGAGCAGAACCACUAUGAAUAGGGAAUUUAUUUUAGGAAUGGGACCUUAUAGAAUUGUGGCAGAGAGUUCCCGUUGUGGCUCAGUAGUAACGAAUCCGACUAGUAUCCUCGAGGAUGCGGGUAUGAUCCCUGGCCU